rnacentral:snRNA from 1 species
AUCGCUUCUCGGCCUUUUGGCUAAGAUCAAGUGUAGUAUCUGUUCUUAUCAGUUUAAUAUCUGAUACGUCCUCUAACCGUUACCUUAACACAGGGGUAGUGGGUCUCAAAACACUUCAAGUUCAGAGGAAAAGAUGUCAAAAUGCUUGUGUGCCGAGUUUUA